AAAACAAAAAAAUGUGACAACUCGGCUCCUGCAUGGACGAAGAACAAAGCUUGCUGCAAGAACUAACGUGAAUUGCUGGACACUGAUCAUCGACAGUUUGAACGCACCUUGCAGCAGCCCCGGGUUCCCUCUGGGGCUACACAUCAAUCGGGCCA
rnacentral:rRNA from 1 species